rnacentral:rRNA from 1 species
UCGACCUGCAGGCGGCCGCGAAUUCACUAGUGAUUCGUAUUACCGCGGCUGCUGGCACGGAGUUAGCCGGAGCUUAUUCUCCCGGUACUGUCAUUAUCAUCCCGGGUAAAAGAGCUUUACAACCCUAAGGCCUUCAUCACUCACGCGGCAUUGCUGGAUCAGGCUUUCGCCCAUUGUCCAAUAUUCCCCACUGCUGCCUCCCGUAGGAGUCUGGGCCGUGUCUCAGUCCCAGUGUGGCUGAUCAUCCUCUCAGACCAGCUAAGGAUCGUCGCCUUGGUGCGCCUUUACCACACCAACUAGCUAAUCCUACGCGGGCUCAUCCCUCGGCGAUAAAUCUUUGGACUUACGUCGUCAUCCGGUAUUAGCAGUCAUUUCUAACUGUUAUUCCGAACCAAGGGGCAGAUUCCCACGCGUUACGCACCCGUGCGCCACUAAGGCCGAAGCCUUCGUUCGACUUGCAUGUGUUAGGCAUGCCGCCAGCGUUCGUUCUGAGCCAUGAUCAAACUCUAAUCGAAUUCCCGCGGCCG